UACGGGGGGAGCAAGCGUUGUUCGGAUUUACUGGGCGUAAAGGGCGCGUAGGCGGCCAGCACAAGUCAGUUGUGAAAUCUCCGAGCUUAACUCGGAAAGGUCAACUGAUACUGUGCGGCUAGAGUGCGGAAGGGGCAACUGGAAUUCUUGGUGUAGCGGUGAAAUGCGUAGAUAUCAAGAGGAACACCUGCGGCGAAGGCGGGUUGCUGGGCCGACACUGACGCUGAGGCGCGAAAGCCAGGGGAGCAAACAGG
rnacentral:rRNA from 1 species